UGGUUCAAGAUGUCCCUGCUCAUUGCAGGGUGGGUGGCCUCUAAAGGUGCCUCCCAACCAACACUGUGGUGUUGGUUCCAUGGGUUAGAGAGACAAAGAGGCCAAGGCACUUUGAUGAAAAUGCUCAAAAGGAACUGAGUAUGGAGAAGCAGAAGCACAAAACUAGCUCCCUACUUGUCUCUGUUAGAUGAAGACCACUUUUGACUCUAUCUUCUUGUUUUGUUCCAGGAACCAGGAUGUCUAUUCGAUCUGCAGAAUCCAUACAAGAUGUGACUAGAAAUUCCAGCCUACCAACAUGGGGGAAGAAAGAGAGAGAUGAUAAUUUCCAUUCCUGAAACAUGUAUAAUGUUCAGAGGCUUUACAAGGAUGAGUUUAGAGGAGACAAACAUCCUCCUCCAGCACUGCCUUUUGUGUCCUGCACACUCUCACUUCACCAGACAUGGCUGAGCAUCACUUUGCAGAAUUUCCUAUCCAGGGCACCAGCCACAUACAGGAGAGCAGACUUUGGCCUCUUCAGGGAGCUGCUAGCCAGAGUGCUGUGGGAUGGAGACCUGGAGGGAAGAGGGGCCCAGGAAAUCAGGGAUUGCCUCCUCCAAGCUCAGGAGCUAUGAAAUCCAGUAGGAAGCCAGAUAAAAUUACCAGGAGUCCUGUGUGGAUGAACAAGGAGCAUCUAGGUGAGCUCAAACACAAGAGGAAGGUCUGCAGAGGAUGAAGGUAGUACGCUCUUCUGCUUGUGUGCACUGCCUGUGUCUCUGCCUCAUGCUCUGCACCCCAAACACCUGCCAGCAAACCUGGUAGCCUCACAGCUUUAGCACUAGCCAACUCACUGCCAUGGCACAGGAGGGACAUCUUCCGUGCACAGCAGCACUUAUGAGCAGCUUCAGCCAACUGAUGCCUGUGAGGCGCUGGAGGCCCUGGGAUUAGAUGUGCUAAUGGAAGAGCAGAGCGGUUCAAAAGCGCUGCCGCCGCGUGCCUCCCCUCCCUCUUCGCGCCGCGCCGCCGUGCCUGGAUGCUGCUCCACCAUGACCUUCUACGGUGAUGCUGUGGCAGCCUGUUCCUUCACGGGGGCAUUUGGGCUGACAAUGCGAAGCUCCUUUUCCCACAUAAUUGAAAGGAAUUUCUGAUUAUGCACAGGGAUGUCAGCAGUGCGAGGAGCUUGGACGCCUUCCAGCCGCAGCCGGAUCCAAUGAUAGCGCUGCGAUUUCUCCUUUUUUGGCACUCUACUUGUGAACUUUCUGCUCCCUUCUGGGAGUGAUUUCUCAAGAUAAUAUGCUGCUGCUCCAGCUUCUCUCUGAUGGCCUAGAUUUAUAGCUUCUGCAAGGCAAGAGAGGGGAAGGGGUGUGGGAGAGACAGGGAGGAUGAAAGCAGAAAGGGAAAUUAUUUUUUGGUUGGGGUUUUUAUUAUUUUGGUCCCACUCCGCUACAGUGACUGUCUCCAGGCUUUGCACAAAAAUAGUCUGUCCUUUCCAUCUCUGUAAUGCUCUUUACUGCCUGCAGAGAAAGGUUGAAAGUACACACGAGUUUUCUGGCCUCUCUUUAGUCCAGCCCCUGUGAAUAUGUGGCGUGAGGUGAGCACUACAUUUAUCUCUGACCUUUUCACCAUCUCCUGCAUCUGUUAACUGAAAAGAGAGGAAGAUGUCCCCAGCCUCCUCUCCCACAGAGCAGAUGGUUCUGGUGACUUGAUUUACUUUAUCUCUAUCUGUCCCAACUUGCCUCAAAUCUCUCUGAAUGUCUAAUUUAUCUAAAGCCUUCAUUGCUCUAACUACACUGGGGAAAAACAAAACAACAGCCCCAAAAACCCCAGCCACUGAUUUUCAGGGAGAAAUAUUUCAAAAUUCCAGAUGCUGUGCUCAGAAAUUUAGUAACACCAUAAUUAACUAGGACAAAAAUUUCUCUCUUUGGAUGUGCUAAUCAGCUGAACAUCCUCUUUCCCCAGUGACUUCAGACUGUUGGAGAUGUUUCCAUAACAUCAGAACUGUAUUAUCCAAGUAUUUUAACCCUCUCUCACAGCAUUUCCAGGAAGGUGGGGUGCUGCUGCCAUCCUUGUUUUACAGGUGGGAAAUAAGCAACUGAGGCACAGACCUUAUCUAAGACAGACCAGGUGAGUUACCCUUUGAAUAUACCUGUUCCUCCCUACUGUUUAUAAAGGUAGAUGGCUGAUGUUUUAUAGGAUUACAUCCAUUACACUGCGUGGCUGCAGAUGACUGAGAUGAAUGCCACUUUUUGAGACUCAGCAAGGUCACCCAGGAAGAGAGGAGAAAAGCUGUGAAAUGAGCCUUUGCAUUUUACAAAUGACCUGGUGAAUAAUACAUGCACCACCUUAUGAGGUGCUAGCUCCUGAAAUCACAGGCUGACACACGCGUUUGGGUUGGGAAGGACAUUAAAUAUGUUUAAACAGCAUUGUCAGGAGAGGCAGGGGGGUGCUGAGCACCUGAGGUUUGUCUUGGACUGUGUUUCACCUUUGAGGUCUUCCUGAUGCCCUGGGGAUACCAGGGCAGUCCUGUGGUGCUCAUUGUGGCUAUAGCUACUGAAGCUUUUCUGUUCUUCAGGUUGCAUCUAAAAAUGGGAAAUACUGCUGACAGCUGCCUGUGCUCAGCUCCACAUCUCCCAUCAUCUUGGAUAGCCAAAUUGCCAGUGUUGAGUGUCUGUUCCAAAGGCUGUGGCUCAAAUCCUCCCUCUCUGAAGAGAAUACAUCAGGAGGGCGACAAUUGCAACUUUACUUGCUCCUGUUUAUCUCUUGCUGGUUAGCUCUGCAGGAGCCUCAAACUACCCCUCACUAUGAGAUUUCUAAAUCUCAGGAAACCUGAUUGCAGGUGCUCAGACCUAAGGAGAAACUCUUAUAUAGGGAGGGCUGUUAAAUCAAGUGGUGAUGGGGGGCUAGACACAAGGCUUUCUUAGGAGGACCACAGGAAAGCAUCCUGAAGGUCAGGGCCAGAGAAUGUUUGCACAACUCUUUCUUGAUGCCUAGGGUAUUUCAGCAUAAAACCACGUCCUGGCAAUGAAACACCCUAAUUAAGCACCACCGAGAAUCAAAUUGGACUUGCAUUCAAAGCAGAACUGAAAUUGAGGCCACUUGGUGCUCCAUGAGCCUGUGUCCUUGGGCAGAGGCUGUGAUUGAAAUGACCUUACAGACAAUCAGGCACAGGAGUCAAACUCCUCCUCGGCGAGGAUUCGUCUGGCUUGAUGGGAAGCCUUUUGCUUCCUCUCAGAAAUCAGAGUCACAAAGACAUACUGAGUGGCUGAGGAAAUUAUAUUUUAUUCAACUUAUCAGCAUGUGAAAGAUAACGGGAAUGAGCUGCAGUCACAAUCUCUUCUGUGAUGGCAGCUGCACGGGGGGAGUAGAAAUAAUGCAGCAGGGAGGGAACUCGGGGGUGCUGGCAGGUCGUGAGCUGGCACAGGGCUCCUGCACAGCCUGGAAAGGAUCUCAGAGCUGUGUGCAGGGGGCACAGCAGCUCCCGUGGCAAGCACAGACAGCAAAGAGCCAUUCAGACCACUCACCACUGCCAGGCAGCCCAAUGGGUGUAGCAGCCACAGUGCUGGGGUCAGAUGAAUCACAGAGUGUGCACGGCUCGUAUUGAGCCUUGUGAUGGCUGGGCUGUACUGUGGAGCAGGAGUCAGGGUGGGUUGCAGAGCUGUCAUUCCUUAUUUCCUAUUAUUUUCUUUAGCUGGGAAGCCAUAGAAGGCACAGAAUCAUCACAGAAUGGUUUGGAUUAGAAGGGACUUUAAAGACAACCUGAUUUCACCUUCCCUGCCAUUGGCAGGGACACUUUCCACUAUCUCAGGUUGCUCCAAGCCCCUCCAACCUGGCCCUGGACACUGCCAGGGAUCCAGAGCAGCCACAGCUUCUCUGGGCACCUGCCAGGGCCUCACCUCAUUCACAAGGAAGAAUUAUUUCCCAAUUUCUGAUCUAACCCUGCCCUCUGUCAAUGUGAAACUAUCUCCCCUUGUCCUAAAACUACACAUCCUUGUCAAAAGUCCCUCUCCAGGGGAACUUGUCCUUAAGUCUGAUUUGUUUUGUGCAUGAACGCAGGGAAAAGACAGGAAAACUGACUUGGCCAUGGACAACAUGCAACAUUUCCAGCUGCAACAAUGCCUUUGCCAUCCGUGGAUAUUCCCACUUCUCCCCGUGAGUGAGAAAGAGAGACCACCCACCUAAAGUGGUAAAACCAAGGGUUAGGCUCGAACUUAGUGUGGUCUGAGACAAAAUAUUUACUAGCCUGGUAGUAACUUCGUACUGGCAAGUAAUACUAAUAAAAAGUGUGUUUGAUGUGUUCAAAACUUAUUGGUGUACACAUUAAAACAUGUGGUGGAAUCUGGGGGCAUAAUAAAACAGCUGCUUUAGUUAAAGCCAGAAGAAGAGUGUCUGGUGGUCAUGCUGGAGAAAAGGAUGGGAAAAGAGCAAGUACCCACUUUAACUCCUUCACUGCCGAGGUACAGCCCCAAAAAGCAUGUUUUUACAUAAAGCUGCAAGGCCCCUGAGCUAAAUGUGCUCCCAAUAACACAAUUUUCCUCCACUGCCCUGCAGACAUGAACCCCCCCUUCCCUCACCCCCCAUUCCCCUCACAACAUUUUCACUGCUAUUUUAUCAUCAGGCCUAAUUUGAUUUAACAAGCCUGGCCCAGAUAAAUCAAGUGGUUACAGAUUAGGAAGUCCUUGUGCUUACAAGGCCAGUGCUCAUAAAAUUGAAUGCAUCAUGCAACUUAUAAACAGGAAAAGAUAAGCACAGUUUUAUGUACUCCACUCUGCUGCAGAUUUCAUGUCAGUCCAUCUCCCUGGGAAAAGGAAGAUGAAGGCUCUAUCCUCUUUGCAGUCUACGCAGGACAUUGUUGAUGUUUGUGCUUCUUCUGUUCUACUUUUAACACCUUUUUUCCCUUCUUGGCACUUUGAUACACCUCUGGGACACCACUGAAAGAUGUGUUCAAGUAUUUUUUUUUCCCUAUUUAAGGGACCCCUCUAGUUAUUUGUAUGUUUGAAUGGGAAAAAAACUUCUUGAUGUACAGAUUAAGAGAAAAGGAUUAAAGGUUUUCCUUACUUGUAUAUUUUUUAUAGAUUUGGAGUAAAUAGCAUUCAUGACCAGGAAGUUGUUCGGAGCUGUCCUAGAGGAAGGUGACGGAAGAGAGAAUAAAUAAAAAUUUUCUUGCUGUCAAAAUGAGCAAGGUCCUCAUUAAAAUAAUACAAAAUAGAUUCACAGAAUAAUUAAGAUUGGAAAAGACCCCCUAACACCAUUGAGUCCAGCCAUUAGCACAGCACUGCCAGAUCCAGCACUAAACCAUGUUCCCUAAGUACCACACCUACACGUUUUUUGAACACUUUCAGGGAUGGUGUUUCCUGCAAAUAGGAGCUGUGCGUCUCCAUUUAAUCUGCUUUUGUAGAAAUGAAAUGCACUAAUUUUCUCACAUGCAAAGUUGAUUUAAGUUUUUAGGUAUUCUGGGGCUGGAUUUGGUAUUUUGGAUGAGCCCUUGGAUGGUGUCUUCCUUCAUUUAGGAGCUCAUUCAGCUGUCUGAUAAGCAUCACCUCUCCAGAUCAGGCUAAAUACAGCACCCUGCCUUCCCCCAGCAGGAAUCUUCUCUAACAGGCCAGUGUUAGAUGGAGUAGCCUGGGGGUUCUUUAUAUUUAGCAUCAAAGCAGGGCAAAACAAAUGCAAUUACAGCCCAAUAAUGAAAUUUGUAUCUGUUGUAAAUGUCCUUAGUUACGUAGCAGAAAAUCCAGAUACAGAUGAGCUAAAGACAGAUCCAAAGCGAGUGGUGGGGGAAAGUUGAAAUUUCUUUUCAAAGACAUAGCAAACAGUGUAUAAACCUCACAAAAUGUUUACUUUCUUUGUUUAAGCUGUGGAGUAAAAAUAACUUUCCAUUUAUCCAGUGAGUGACUGUGCAGGAUGAGACCAACAGGGAAGCUGCUCUAAGCCUCCAGCAAUGUGAUGUUUUUGAGUUCAGAGCAGGGAAAGGAGAUCUUCAGGGCUGUGCCUUGGAUUAAUGGCCAGUGAAUACUCCUUGCACACACUCACUGAAUGCAAGACUGCUCUUCAUUUUACCAAGAUAAGGUUUAUCCAAACUCUGAAGAGCAGUACAAGGUGGUGAAGUGACUUUACUCCUUCUUAGACAGCAGCAUGCCAUUAGCUGGCAUUUCCUAUCCCACAUUUGGAAAUCAACUCUCAGCCUUUUGCCGGGGUCUCAGAGCAAGAGUCCAAGGAGCUGGGAACAGGUUAUCCUCUUUCCUAAUUGGUAAUGUGAAAUGGGAAAACAUAAAAUUUACAAUAAAUUCAGUCAGAACUGCAAGCAAAUUGAUUCCCUUUUAAUGUUUUCUGAAUCUCCUAUUGUUGGGAUCAGAACACGUGAUGUUUCCUUAAGGGAUUUCAUGCACCAUCCACAUUUUUUAAUCUUAAUGACACUAAUUUUAAUGUACUCUCUCUGCUGUGCAAUGGAAGAUAUUUUUGCUUAAUGACCAGGCUUCUGCUCCUUUGCUUGUACUGAGUAAUGUUCAGUUUCAGAGCUCCUUGCAGCAGGACGUGUGAAUAUAAGUGAAGAGAUUAAUAUGAAUAACCAGUACCAGACUGCCAGACUGAAUAUACAUCUUUUGCUAGCUAAAAAAUAUAAAAGGCCCUUGAACAAAACUCAUCUGAGAUGCAAUCCUAUUCAAGACUCUGAAGUUUUCCCUAGAUGAGACACAACGUGAAGGAAGACUGCUGAGUGCCCUGAGAGAAUCUGAAAUGCAGAAGUCUGAAAUGUAUUCCUUUGCACAUCCAGAACACUAGAUCUCAAACUUUCAAAAGGACAUUGCCAAGAUAGAGAUCACAUUCAACAUUUAAAGCAUUUCAUGAAGAUAUAUCGCUUCCUAUCUGCCUGAAAUCUUCCUGCUGCUAACAGAAGGCAUGGAUUUUGAAACCCCGGUGACAUGGCAGCAGUUACCCUCUGUGUUCAUUCUUCACCCUGCCUGGUGAAGGAAAUGAGACCGGUCAGCUCUGUCUGCUGUUCCAUUUCAUCCUCGUUUUCUCUUUUGUGACACACUCUGCAAUCUCAGAACUUCUGUCUUAAUUGAAUUUUUAAAUACAUAAAGGGAUGGACAGUAGAUUUAUGGAGCCCUAAUCUAGUGGGUGGCACCCCUUGCCCAUGGUGGGGGAGUUUGGAAUGAGAUGAUCUUUUAGGUACCUUUCAAACCAAACCAUUCUAUGAUUAUGUUUUGCAACCCCUUUUAUUCUUUCACCCUAAUCUGCAUGUUAAUCCCAAGGCUCUUUAGUAAAGUGUUUCUCCUUCACCAAGGGUGUUUUGGCAGCUAAACCUUCAGCUCAGUCAGUUAUCCACUGACUGCAGCCGUGCUGAUUUCUCCCCAGCUAAGCACAGAAGCCUGGGCUGUGGGAGGGGGUGUCUGUCGCUUCAGUCACACCCACACACUGCACUGAAUUUAGUCACCUUUUGAGAGGGUGACUAUUAUUUCAUUAAAUACAUGGCUAUAUCACAGAAUCCCAUAAUGUUUUGGGUUAGAAGGGACCUUAAAUCUCUUCUCCUUUCAUCCCCCUGCCAUGGGCAGGGACAGCUUCCACUGUCCCAGGCUGCUCCAAG